UUUUUCAUCUCCUCCUCCCAAACAUUCCGAUAGAAUCGAAACGAUACAGAGAAAAAUUAGCGUGGCUUCUGUGCAAGAAUGAUAAGCAUAAAUCGAUAAACAAGUUUAAUUUUA
rnacentral:snRNA from 2 species